rnacentral:snRNA from 1 species
AGAGAAUCGCUUGAGCCUGGGAGGCAGAGGUUGCAGUGCGCCAAGAUUGUACCACUGCAUUCCAGUCUGGGCAACAGAG